UACGUAGGGGGCAAGCGUUGUCCGGAAUCAUUGGGCGUAAAGGGCGCGUAGGCGGCCUGUUAAGUCGAACGUGAAAUCCCUGGGCUCAACCCAGGAACUGCGUCCGAUACUGGCAGGCUUGAAUUCGGGAGAGGGAUGCGGAAUUCCAGGUGUAGCGGUGAAAUGCGUAGAUAUCUGGAGGAACACCGGUGGCGAAGGCGGCAUCCUGGACCGACAUUGACGCUGAGGCGCGAAAGCCAGGGGAGCAAACGGG
rnacentral:rRNA from 1 species